rnacentral:rRNA from 1 species
CCUACGGGAGGCAGCAGUGGGGAAUAUUGCACAAUGGGGGAAAGCCUGAUGCAGCGACGCCGCGUGAGGGAAGAAGGAUCUCGGUAUGGAAAGCUCUAUCAGCAGGGAAGAAAAUGACGGUACCUGACUAAGAAGCCCCGGCUCACUACGUGCCAGCAGCCGCGGUAAUAUGUAGGGGGCAGGCGUUAUCCGGAUUAACUGGGUGUAAAGGGAGUGUAGACGGGUGCACAAGUCUGAAGUGAAAACCCGGGGCUUAACCCCGGAACUGCUUUGGAAACUGUGCGGCUGGAGUGCAGGAGGGGUAAGCGGAAUGCCUGGUGUAGCGGUGAAAUGCGUAGAUAUUAGGAGGAACACCGGUGGCGAAGGCGGCUUACUGGACUGUAACUGACGUUGAGGCUCGAAAGCGUGGGGAGCAAACAGGAUUAGAUACCCUUGUAGUC